GCAAAAGUUAUUUCUAUAUCAUGUGCUGUUGCCUUUGCUGCUGCUGCAAGGAAGUGAAGUUAUAAUAAUAAUAAUAAAAAAGCGAAAAUAAAAAAGGAAGUCAUCCAAACGACAAAAAAGGACGACUCCCAAGGGCGUUAUGCUAUAAAUGUGGAGCAUAAUAAACGGAUUAUUUGCUCUGGAAACGAAAAAAUUGUAGUUUCCAAAAGAAAAAAAUAAAUAAAUAUAGAAAUAAGUUGAAAAGCCUCUCUAUAGAUUAUUUAUAUCUACACAUACAUAUAUACUUAGAGAUAGGUAUAAAUGCAAAAGAGGGCGCUAGUAUAGUGUAUCUUUGUUAUAUGUAUAUCUACCUACUCUAUUUUGUUUUUGUUCCUUGUUUUGGGACCAAGACAAGAUAAAAGUGAAUUAAUGUGAUUACUUUACGAAAAGAGAUCGAAUAUCUUUUGAGUGUUUUUCGGUAUGUUCUGUGUGUAGACGGGAAUAUAACAACGUACAUAAAAUCGUUAUCGAGAGAUUUUAUCUGGUUAAAUUCGACGGUAUAUCAAUUUAAAUUGUUGUCGUUGUUUUUUUUUUAUUAUUUGAAUGUGGAUAUUUAUAGUGUCGUCAGAAAAUACUGACAAAUAGAAAUUCAUCAUACAUAAUAUAUGCAUACAUCGUGCAAUCUAAUUGAAAUAUUACCUAACUUAUCAUCAAUACGCAAACGAAAAAGUGAGAUA